AACUCAAAGGAAUUGACGGGGACCCGCACAAGCGGUGGAGCAUGUGGUUUAAUUCGAAGCAACGCGAAGAACCUUACCAGGUCUUGACAUCGAUCCGACGGGGGAGUAACGUCCCCUUCCCUUCGGGGCGGAGAAGACAGGUGGUGCAUGGUUGUCGUCAGCUCGUGUCGUGAGAUGUUGGGUUAAGUCCCGCAACGAGCGCAACCCUUAUUCUAAGUAGCCAGCGGUUCGGCCGGGAACUCUUGGGAGACUGCCAGGGAUAACCUGGAGGAAGGUGGGGAUGACGUCAAAUCAUCAUGCCCCUUAUGAUCUGGGCUACACACGUGCUACAAUGGCGUAAACAAAGAGAAGCAAGACCGCGAGGUGGAGCAAAUCUCAAAAAUAACGUCUCAGUUCGGACUGCAGGCUGCAACUCGCCUGCACGAAGCUGGAAUCGCUAGUAAUCGCGAAUCAGAAUGUCGCGGUGAAUACGUUCCCGGGUCUUGUACUCACCGCCCGUC
rnacentral:rRNA from 1 species